rnacentral:rRNA from 1 species
UACGGAGGGGGCUAGCGUUGUUCGGAAUCACUGGGCGUAAAGCGCACGUAGGCGGCUUUCUAAGUCAGGGGUGAAAUCCUGGAGCUCAACUCCAGAACUGCCUUUGAUACUGGAGAGCUUGAGUCCGGGAGAGGUGAGUGGAACUCCGAGUGUAGAGGUGAAAUUCGUAGAUAUUCGGAAGAACACCAGUGGCGAAGGCGGCUCACUGGCCCGGUACUGACGCUGAGGUGCGAAAAGCGUGGGGA